rnacentral:lncRNA from 1 species
AGACCAGUUUCCGGUGAGCAUGGUGACAGGGUUGCUGUACGAAGUGGCCCUGAGGGGCUUGGCCACCAUUUCUGAGGGUGGGUCAGGCCUCCGGCCCACAGCGAUCCUCUGCCUUCCUGCGUAGUCAUGCCUGUCACUCAAGGAAAAACGUCCGGAUGACACGUGACACAGCACUGAGUGAUUCGGGGUGAGCCCUGGGGAAGGAAAAAAUGGGGAAGGUGGUUUGGGGAUUUUCACUCUUCUCCCUACAUCUGUCUUAGCCUAAGUUUUCUUAUCUGUGAAAGAGUUCUGAGAUUUUUCGUCGCCAGAUGUCUUUAUAAAGAGUAAAUGAGAUCACAUACAGGCUGGCCUUGGAGAUAUUGUGGGUUGGGUUCUAGACCACCUCAAUAAAGUGAAUACGGCAAUACAGUGAGUCACAUAAAAUUUUUGGUUUCCCAGUGCAUAUAAAUUUAUGUUUAUACUAUACUGUAGUCUAUUAAGUAUGCAAUAACAAGAUGUCACUCCAAUGUCUCCAGACAUUGUCAAAUGUCCACAAAGGGUCUGUGUCCAGCAAGACCGUGGAAGUCAGACCUAGGACAGGAAGUAAGGAGUGCAGUGUUGUUAAAUAUCUAUACCUGAUAUGGAUAUUUAAGUCUAUCAACUACUGUAUUUAUAUUCUCAACUCUAACAUUUAAUGUUUUCACUAUUGUUGUUUCCCUGAAAUUCUAUAAUUCACUUUGUAUUUCCCUCUGACUCAAAAGUUGGUUAAUAAGGAAUCAUACGAUUUCUAGGUCAAGGCCUUUUUGGUUUUGUGACUUUCUUAUCAAUUUCUAGUUUCAUUGCAUUGUGAUUAGAAAAUGUUUUCUGCAUUAUCUCUCCUCUUUAGAACUAAUUGAAGUUAUUUGUGUGGUUUAUUAGUUAAUUUUGGAAGUGUCCCAUGGUCACUUGGAAAGACAAUAUAGUCUAUAUUUUUAGGAUUUAAAGUUUAGUAGAUAUCCCUCAGGUAUACUAAAUUGAUCAUGUCAUUUUGGUCUUUUAUAUCAUUACUUUCUUUUGUACAUUUGCUCCAACCUGGGCUGAGAGAAUUUGCAUUUUCUAUAAGUGACCACUGGUACCAGCCAAGGUGGAAUACGUGCACUUCCGUCUACCGUCCCACUGGGAACGCUGAAAACUCUGGGAGGAACAUAAAGAACAACUCCCUGAGCCCUCUAAAAAGCCAGCUCCAGCUGUGGAGCUGCACCACUAUGCUGCUGGUCCUGGUGCUGGAAGCCCUGAAACUUUGAUGAAAGACCCAACUCUCCAACCAGAGGAACUGGAAAUGGAGUGGGGUGAAUCCCUGUUUAUUUCUUCCUCUUUACUGUUGCCACUUGGCUCCAAAGAUGGCCCCAGUCAUGUGGAACUAUACAAUAGCACAAAGAAUUAAAAAGCUAAGAAAAACCUGAUUUUCUGGACAGAAGAAAACUG